UUAACUUAUUUGUAUAUUACUCGGACAACACAAAAAUCAAGAGUUUAGGGUUCUCUGGCAGGCACGGACCAGCCUAAGCCAGUGGUCAUAAGACGGGCCUGCCAAAGCAACAAAGGUAAUAUAAACAAAGGGUGGGAGAUCUACCCCAAAGGGCAAUUUCUCUGUAAUGAUCCUUCCGCAGGUUCACCUACGGAACGCUAUAGUCUACAACCCUUUCAGAAGUAGGCCGGUCAUAUCUGAAUCCAAGAGAGCCCUCUUGGACCACCUUCGUUUGAUCUGUGAACUGCUAUAAGCAGCUGCAUGUUACCCUGACGGUAUCCAAGCACAGUGAAGAUGUUGCCUAUGUAGGUAGACUUGUAUCCAAGGCUUCUGCAGGUGUUGUUCUGCCAGAGAAA
rnacentral:misc_RNA from 1 species